rnacentral:rRNA from 1 species
UACAGAGGGUGCAAGCGUUAAUCGGAAUUACUGGGCGUAAAGCGCGCGUAGGUGGUUUGUUUAAGUUGGAUGUGAAAUCCCCGGGCUCCAACCUGGGAACUGGCAUUCAAAACUGAACAAGCUAGAGUAUGGUAGAGGGUGGUGGAAUUUCCUGUGUAGCGGUGAAAUGCGUAGAUAUAGGAAGGAACACCAGUGGCGAAGGCGACCACCUGGACUGAUACUGACACUGAGUGCGAAAGCGUGGGGAGGCAACAGG